rnacentral:tRNA from 1 species
AGCCCAUGAGGUAGUUUCGCCAAAGUGCAAAUUUGGAGACGCACCCUAAAAGGUGCCGGGGCUU